CAAAACCAUACAGCAGCUUCGCUUUAUUUCUCUCACAGUGAUUUCUGGUUCUGGCCGGGAACCUCUCCCCAGACCACCUCGACGUCCCGUUGUGCAGUUACAUGAAGAAUUGCAACACCGACCUGAUUCUGCCAGCAGGCAGGGCUGCAGCCGGGGAGGAGCUUGUGCAGGUAUUGCAACAUCCUCUGUGACUGCGUGUUGUGACCUCCAGAAACGUUUGAUCCAUAAUGUUUUAGAGACAAUGAAGUAAAACCAACAUGUGCUCACCAAGUAAUCAUUAGCAUCACGUGUGCUUGGGCUGCUGGUCCUGAUGUCCAGUUCCUGUCUGUGGCAGCGAAAGAAACCGCCCCCUCAGUGUUGAGCCAAGCACCUGCUUGUUCAGUACUUCUCCAUCCUGCUCGCAUCGCAUCCACCAACCUGCUGUGCUUCACAUACGAAGCAGAUCUCUGAAGAGUAUGGAUGAGAGCUUGCACAUCUCACACGCACACCUCGGUGGGGAAAAACAUGGAACCAGAGCACUGGGAGUGCCAGCCCAGGUUGUCGUCUGCACCGGUGAUGGAUUGUCCGCGGAGACUCAUUUCUCGCAGCUUACCACCGCAGUGAGUUACAAGUACCCCUCUGUGAGCUUGGUGCACUUGCGAUUCCGUGCUACGCUUUCCCCAUGUUUUUUGACAGCUGCUGAGUUUGGGAAGAGAUGCUCUUCCUUCUCCUGCUUAUGCAGCCCAGCCCAGCCAGGGCCUGGGGGGCUCCGUCACAGCGCCUGCAGCCCUCUCAUUUCUGUCCUCCCAUCCCUGUCAGAGCUGCAGCCUAUUCCUCUUUUCACCUUGUGA
rnacentral:lncRNA from 1 species